GCUCAAAUUUGAAAUCUGGCUUCGGCCCGAGUUGUAAUUUGUAGAGGAUGCUUUUGGCGAGGUGCCUUCUGAGUUCCCUGGAACGGGACGCCACAGAGGGUGAGAGCCCCGUAUAGUCGGACACCUAGCCUCUGUAAAGCUCCUUCGACGAGUCGAGUAGUUUGGGAAUGCUGCUCAAAAUGGGAGGUAUAUCUCUUCUAAAGCUAAAUACUGGCCAGAGACCGAUAGCGCACAAGUAGAGUGAUCGAAAGAUGAAAAGCACUUUGAAAAGAGGGUUAAAUAGCACGUGAAAUUGUUGAAAGGGAAGCGCUUGUGACCAGACUUGUGCCGGGCUGAUCAUCCAGUGUUCUCACUGGUGCACUCGACCCGGCUCAGGCCAGCGUCGGUUCUCGCAGGGGGACAAAAGCUCCGGGAACGUGGCUCCUCCGGGAGUGUUAUAGCCCGCUGCUCAAUACC
rnacentral:rRNA from 1 species